rnacentral:rRNA from 1 species
UACGGAGGGCGCAAGCGUUGUUCGGAAUCAUUGGGCGUAAAGCGCGUGUAGGCGGCCAGGUAAGUCGGGUGUGAAAGCCCGGGGCCCAACCCCGGAACUGCAUUCGAUACUGCUUGGCUCGAGUCCCGGAGAGGAAGGCGGAAUUCCCGGUGUAGAGGUGAAAUUCGUAGAUAUCGGGAGGAACAUCAGUGGCGCAGGCGGCCUUCUGGACGGUGACUGACGCUGAGACGCGAAAGCGUGGGGAGCAAACAGG